GAGUUUGAUCCUGGCUCAGAUUGAACGCUGGCGGCAUGCCUUACACAUGCAAGUCGAACGGCAGCACGGGAGCAAUCCUGGUGGCGAGUGGCGAACGGGUGAGUAAUAUAUCGGAACGUGCCCAGUCGUGGGGGAUAACGCAGCGAAAGCUGUGCUAAUACCGCAUACGAUCUCUGGAUGAAAGCGGGGGACCGCAAGGCCUCGCGCGAUUGGAGCGGCCGAUAUCAGAUUAGCUAGUUGGUGGGGUAAAAGCCCACCAAGGCGACGAUCUGUAGCUGGUCUGAGAGGACGACCAGCCACACUGGAACUGAGACACGGUCCAGACUCCUACGGGAGGCAGCAGUGGGGAAUUUUGGACAAUGGGCGCAAGCCUGAUCCAGCAAUGCCGCGUGCAGGAUGAAGGCCUUCGGGUUGUAAACUGCUUUUGUACGGAACGAAACGGUCCUUUCUAAUACAAGGGGCUAAUGAC
rnacentral:rRNA from 1 species